rnacentral:rRNA from 1 species
AGGGUUUGAUCAUGGCUCAGAUUGAACGCUGGCGGCAGCCCUUACACAUGCAAGUCGAGCGAGAAAGUUUCUUCGGAAGCGAGUAAAGCGGCGGACGGGUGAGUAACGCGUAGGAAUCUACCAUUCAGUGGGGGAUAGCUCGGGGAAACCCGAAUUAAUACCGCAUAUACCCUAAGGGGGAAAGAGGGCCUAUCCUUGGAAGCUCUUGCUGUUUGAUGAGCCUGCGUGAGAUUAGUUUGUUGGUGAGGUAAUGGCUCACCAAGACUACGAUCUCUAGCUGGUCUGAGAGGACGAUCAGCCACACUGGGACUGAGACACGGCCCAGACUCCUACGGGAGGCAGCAGUGGGGAAUAUUGGACAAUGGGGGCAACCCUGAUCCAGGCAUGCCGCGUGUGUGAAGAAGGCCUUCGGGUUGUAAAGCACUUUAGGUAAGGAAGAAAAGUUAUUGGUUAACACCCAAUGACCGUGACAUUACUUACAGAAUAAGGACCGGCUAACUCCGUGCCAGCCGCCGCGGUAAUAC